UAUACCCAUUGUAGGAUCGAGAUGCAUAGAGCUUAGGUUAUGCUAAUUAUUAUGCUAAUUAUUAUGCUAAUUAUUAUGAAAAACAAAAAGGGACCCGUAUAAAAGCAUGGUUUUUUGGGGUCUUUUGAGAUUGAGCACAAUUCAUGUAUAGUGGUGUAUUUUUGUACAUGGAUGUUUAUAUUUAGUGGCCAAAUUACGAGAACCGUACGUUUGACGCAUUGCAUUGAAAUAAAGACUUAUCUGUA